AACGAACGCUGGCGGCAUGCCUAACACAUGCAAGUCGAACGGGACCUUCGGGUCUAGUGGCGCACGGGUGCGUACCGCGUGGGAACCUGCCCUUGGGUUCGGAAUCCCUCCCCGAAGGGGGUGCUAAUACCGGAUAAUGUCCUCGGACCAAAGAUUUCUGGCCUUUGGAUGGGCCCGCGUUGGAUUAGCUGGUUGGUAGGGUAAAAGCCGACCAAGGCGACGAUGCAUAGCUGGUCGGAGAGGAGGAUCAGCCACACUGGGAAUGAGACACGGACCAGAAUCGUACGGAAGGCAGGAGUGGGGUAUAUUGGAGACUGGGCGAAAGUCUGAUCCAGCAAUGCCGCGUGAGUGAUGAAGGCCGUAGGGUUGUAAAGCUCUUUUACCCGGGAUGAUAAUGACAGUACCGGGAGAAUAAGCUCCGGCUAACUCCGUG
rnacentral:rRNA from 1 species